rnacentral:lncRNA from 1 species
UUGAGAUUCCCAAUGAAUACACGGGAGUUCAUGGAACGAGGAUCUGUCUUGUUGGUAACGUUGCUGGCCAUUGUGUUUGAUGGAAUCUAGCGCUUCAGGAUUAUGUGCACUCUUGCUAAUCCAAGUGUUAUCCCUGAACCAGCAGCAUCAGCAUCACCAGAGAACUUGCUGGAAAUGCAGAAUAUCAGACUCUACCCCAGACCUACUUAAUCAGAGAAGCCCAGAGAGAUUCAUAUGCACAUUAAAGUUGGAGAAGUCCCAUACUCAUAUACUAGCAUAAACAGAGUAUCCUCAAACUCAUAACAAAGAAACCUACAAAACAUGAAGUACUGUCCUUUCAAUUUAGGGGCAGAGGAUUGGACAUUUUAUUUUAUUUUUUUAUGGGGGAAUACAGCUAAAACUGAAUUGCUUCAAUAAAGUCUUUGACAAUUUAAAAGCUGAAUGUGUGUGUGUGGCUGGGAAUCUUGUUUUCAUCUGGGAUCAAGAAUUAUUACUAUGUAUAUGGGGAAGUGUUUCUUCUACAACAGCUAUUGACUAAGAAAACUAAGGAGAAAAGACCAAAAAAGAGUGCAAAUAACUUCAAAAUAGAUAACGAGUAUCAUACGUAUUUAGUAAUUUACAUGUAAAAAUGUAGAAU